AACGAACGCUGGCGGCAUGCCUAACACAUGCAAGUCGAACGAGACCUUCGGGUCUAGUGGCGCACGGGUGCGUAACGCGUGGGAACCUGCCCUUAGGUUCGGAAUAACUCCCCGAAAGGGGUGCUAAUACCGGAUAAUGUCUUCGGACCAAAGAUUUAUCGCCUUUGGAUGGGCCCGCGUUGGACUAGCUAGUUGGUAGGGUAAAAGCCUACCAAGGCGACGAUCCAUAGCUGGUCUGAGAGGGUGAUCAGCCACACUGGGACUGAGACACGGCCCAGACUCCUACGGGAGGCAGCAGUGGGGAAUAUUGGACAAUGGGCGAAAGCCUGAUCCAGCAAUGCCGCGUGAGUGAUGAAGGCCUUAGGGUUGUAAAGCUCUUUUACCCGGGAUGAUAAUGACAGUACCGGGAGAAUAAGCUCCGGCUAACUCCGUG
rnacentral:rRNA from 1 species